rnacentral:rRNA from 1 species
ACGACUGCUAAUACCGGAUGUGCCGAGAGGUGAAAGAUUUAUUGCCUGAAGAUGAGCUCGCGUCUGAUUAGCUAGUUGGUGAGGUAAGAGCGCACCAAGGCGACGAUCAGUAGCUGGUUUGAGAGGAUGAUCAGCCACACUGGGACUGAGACACGGCCCAGACUCCUACGGGAGGCAGCAGUGGGGAAUUUUCCGCAAUGGGCGAAAGCCUGACGGAGCAAUACCGCGUGAGGGAGGAAGGCUCUUGGGUCGUAAACCUCUUUUCUCAAGGAAGAAAGAUGACGGUACUUGAGGAAUAAGCAUCGGCUAACUCCGUGCCAGCAGCCGCGGUAAUACGGAGGAUGCAAGCGUUAUCCGGAAUGAUUGGGCGUAAAGGGUCCGCAGGUGGAACUGAAAGUCUGCUGUUAAAGAAUUUGGCUCAACCAGAUAAAAGCAGUGGAAACUACAGAACUAGAGUAUGGUAGGGGUAGAAGGAAUUCCUAGUGUAGCGGUGAAAUGCGUAGAUAUUAGGAAGAACACCGGUGGCGAAAGCGUUCUACUAGACCAAC